AGGAUAGAUGCCGGGUGACGUUGAUGCCCACUCUCCUACUUACCUAAUUAUAGAGGCGAUAAUUGAACUAUAUCGGCUGAUUCAUAUGUUUCUAAUCAAACUACUUGUCAUCGAGAGACGGAGGAAAAGGAAACGAAAGUGUAGCACAUUAAUUCUUCGGUAUUCAAUGGUUGAUAGAAUGCCUAACCAAGUAGAACACAUGAAUCGAUUAGUGGGUGUUACUGAUAUUGAUUGCAUGUCAAACUUUAGAAUGAACAGAAAUACAUUUGGUAAGUCAUGUUCAUUGCUACGCCAAGUAGGGGUGCUACAUGAUGGAAGAUAUGUAAAUGUGGAAGAGCAGGUAGCCAUUUUCUUAGCCAUUAUUGCUCAUCACAAAAAAAUAGGAUCGUUCGUUUUGAUUUUUUGAGGUCUGGACAAACUGUAUCACAAUAUGUCCAUAAAGUUUUGCACUCUAUUUUGAAAUUGCAUGAUAUUUUGUUGGUAAAACCGAAUCCGAUACAGGCAGAUUGCACAGACUAACGGUGGGAGCGGUUUAAGGAUUGCCUUGGUGCAUUGGAUGGAACCUACAUUAAUGUACUUGUCAGUAAUGAGAACAAGCCGAGAUACAGGACACGGAAGGGCCAUAUUGCUACCAAUACGUUGGCAGUUUGUGAUACAAAUUUAAAGUUUACAUAUAUUUUACCCGGGUGGGAGGGAUCAGCCGCAGACUCAAGGGUAUUAAGGGACGCGAUCAACAGAGAGGAUGGCCUUAGAGUACCGAGAGGAAACUAUUAUUUGUGUGAUGGUGGAUACGCCAAUUCCGAAGGCUUCCUAGCACCAUACAAGGGAGUGAGAUACCAUUUGAAAGAAUGGGGUCAUGAGAAUCAGAGACCUCAAAAUGCGCGUGAAUUGUUCAACAUGAGGCAUUCAAGAGCACGCAACGUUAUUGAGCGUGCCUUCGGUAUAAUGAAGAUGUGAUGGGGAAUAUUAAGGUCAGUGAGUUAUUAUCCGAUAAAGGUUCAAAAUCGAAUUAUCAUGGCGUGUUUCCUAUUACAUAAUUUUAUUCGUAAUGAGAUGGAGAUAGAUCCCAUUGAAGAACAAAUAGAAACAGAAAUGCCUCACUUGGACUACUAGGACGAUGGCAGGCAUGCGGAUUUUGUAGAUAUCGUUGAAUCAACUGUGGAAUGGAAUCAGAAGCGCGAUGAAAUUGCACAAGCAAUGUGGCUAAAUUAUAAUGAAGGCGGGAUGUGAAGACUACCACAAGAAUGGCCAAAGUACCAGAGCUUGGUUUCUAUUUUAUAGUUGAAAUGUCAUGGUUGUAGGUUUCUAGUACCAUAGCUUGACUCUUUUGUGUUUUUGUCACGACCGCCCAUACUAGGGGUGUUACAAACGAGGCGAUCGUGACCAAGGGAUAAAUAUUAAGAAUAGCAUUUAAGGAUAACAGUUCAUAAGAAA